rnacentral:rRNA from 1 species
UCCGUAGGCGGUGCGGCAAGUCGGAAGUGAAAUCUCAGGGCUUAACCCUGAGGCUGCUUCCGAAACUGCUGUGCUAGAGUGCGAGAGAGGCGAGUGGAAUUGCCGGUGUAGCGGUGAAAUGCGUAGAUAUCGGCAGGAACACCCGAGGCGAAAGCGGCUCGCUGGAUCGCAACUGACGCUGAGGGACGAAAGCUAGGGGAGCAAACAGGAUUAGAUACCCUGGUAGUCCUAGCCCUAAACGAUCAGGACUGGGCGUGGGCCCCGUACGGGGCUCGUGCCGCAGCUAACGCGUUAAGUCCUGCGCCUGGGGAGUACGGUCGCAAGGCUGAA